GGAGAGAUGUCCGAGUGGUUUAAGGAGCCGGUCUUGAAAACCGGUGACUCGUCAAGAGCCGUGGGUUCGAAUCCCACUCUCUCCGCCA
rnacentral:tRNA from 6 species